rnacentral:misc_RNA from 1 species
GUAGGUGAACCUGCGGAAGGAUCAUUACUGAGACUGGGUGCUUCGGCGCCCGACCUCCAACCCCCUGUUUACCUUACCACUGUUGCCUCGGCGUCUCCGUCCGCCCCCCCUAGCAGGGGGGUGGGGGGUUCGCGCCGGCGGCCAAAAACAAAAACCCUUUUUUAAACCAAGCAAUCUGAGAAAUUAUUUAAUAACUUCAAAACUUUCAACAACGGAUCUCUUGGUUCUG